GGUUUUGAACUCUUUUUUUGUUUUGGUUUGGUUUUUAUUUUUUUGUUUUGGUUUAAGAUUUUAUUUUUAAGUAAUCUGUACACCCAACGUGGGUCUUGAACUCACAACCUUGAGAUCAGGAGUCACACGCUCCAUGCAUGCUCCAUCGGCUGAAGCAGCCAGGCACCCCACGGUUUUGAACUCUUAAAGGGAAAAGGUCUUAGUGGCUCUCUUUGUCCCUGCAUCUGGGUGGGAUUUGAAAAGGAUGCUGUGCUGCUUGGCAAGAGCUGCCUCUCCCCUUAAAGCUGGAGGUCUGUGUGGAACAUGGGCCAUCCACCAGGCAGACAGCGCAUACGCCACCAGACUUAUUCAGAACAAGGAAACAGAAGAAGAAAUAGCAAAGCAAAACAGCCCCCAUAUCCCUUUAGAAGAGUGGGGAGGUUGUGGCUGCUUAUCAUGGGACAUCAGGAGGGACCCGCAGCACUUUAGGCCCAGAACCUGUUCUCACAGAGUAUCUGUCUCCCUCCACAUAAAGACCCAGUGAGCUCUUACUUCCACCUGUUGGCCACUCUUUAAGUCUUUAUUAGGACCAGCCUUUUAAAGUGUGACCGUGUUGCAUUCAGCUCCUGAUAGCCACGUGAAAGCAGUCUCAUGGCCUAGACUUUAGGAGCUGCUUGUGAAUCAUGCUUCUGAGGAAAUAGGCUUCUCUGUUUAUUAUGAAGUCUGGGUUUUUAUAUGAACUUGGUAGAUACAGUAACAGGAAGAAACACACAAUUUGCCACCUAGUUUUGAGGGGGUACAGGUAACUUAUUUGACAUCACAUCACCCGUCACAUGUCAUAAGUGGCCACAGCGGCAUCUUUUAGGCCCUUGAGAUUCUCUGCUUCCUAGGGAGGGUCUGUGCCCUCCAGAAGCUUGAAGUCUAGCAGGGAAAACAGACGCUCCCUUUCCUGUAUUUAGGUUCUAUUUUAAGAAAGUACCACUGCAGGAACAGAGGGCAUGGUUGGACUCUGCUGUGACCAUCUGUCUUGUAGCAGGACUUGCUCUUAUCCCAUCAGAUGCUGGUGGUAGAUGCUUUCCUGAGAUCCAUUCUGUUGCAGUGUAGAAUUUUCCUGUGAUUAAGCAGAAGGUAAUAUGUUUCUUUUCAAAACUCAAAAAAAUAAAAAAUAGUUCCUUGCUCUUUCUGUGUUAGAGUUUACAUAUCCAAGUUUUCUGGCUCUGAAUGGAAUUAUCUGGUUGAAUAACUGACACCUCUUUUUUUUUUUCAAAAAUGAUUUCUCUCAUUCGCUUAAUCUGUAGUCAUUUGCAAAGGUGAGAAGAGCUUCCUUAGUUUUCUUCCCGCUGGCUGAUGGCUGAAAGCCUUCUUUUUAUUAUUGUUACUUUUCUUAAUGUUUAUUUUUGAGAGAGAGAGCACAAGCAGGGGAGAGGCAGAGAGAGAGAGAGGGGGAUAGAGGAUCUGAAGCGGGCUCCUGACGGCAGAGAGCCAAUGCGGGGCUCGAACCUGCGAACCACGAGAUCAUGACCUGAGCAGAAGUCAGACGCUUAACCGACUGAGCCACCCAGCACCCCGGAAAGAUUUCUAAUGUUCAAAAAUGAAUUUAUAGUUGGUUUGCCAUUUUAUUGUAUAAAAUAGGAUCCGGUGGUGCCAGUCUUUUCGCCAUCUCGUGUUAAACUUGCAUGGCAUCUUUUACUAUCGUGGAUAUUUAAUAGCUGGGCAUUCUGAAAAUCUAGCUUUAUCCUUAAUUUUCCACAUUCCAAAAAAGCUUUCGAUUGCCUAGUGUAAAUUCAUGGUGCCAUGAAUUAUGUAACUUGAAGCCAUUCAACCCUGAACGUUCGCAGCUCUGCCAUUAGCGGAUUCCUUGAGAGCAUUGUAAGUUUUCUGUUUGAUGACAGCGAUGAAGUUAAUUAGUCUUCUAGGUUCUGAAGGCUUGUGGAUGUAGACCCAGUUGGAAGCUUUUUUGUUCUAGGGAUGUGAAGGCCUUUUGGAUGUUAAUUGAUCUUUCCAUCUGUCCUUUUUAUUGAGUGAAACUCUGAGCAGUGGAUUCGAGGUUGUUCAAAGACACCCUCUUUUGCAUGUGUCACACGUGGCUCUGAGGCCGAAUUGGCCAUGUGUGUAUUUUUGUAGCUGUCCCUUCAAACACAUUCUCUCCUUCAACUUGUCUUUUUUUUUUUUUUUUUUUUUAAGAUUUUAUCUUUAAGUAAUCUCUGUACCCAAUGUGGGGCUCAAACUCACGACCCAAAGAUCAAGAGCUGCACGCUCCUCCCAACAGAGCCAACCAGGCACCCCAACUUAUCUGUGUUGUAAGGAGACACACAUGGGGUGCCUGGAUGGCUCAGUCGGUUAAGCAUCCGACUUUGGCUCAGGUCAUGAUCUCGCGGUCCGCGAGUUCGAGCCUCGCGUCAGGCUCUGUGCUGACAGCUCAGAGCCUGGAGCCUGUUUCAGAUUCUGUGUCUCCCUCUCUUUCUGACCCUCCCCCGUUCAUGCUGUCUCUCCCUGUCUCGAAAAUAAAUAAAUGUUUAAAAAAAAAUUUU